UGUGAGUGUAAACUACGUUUAUAUGAAGUCAGUCAGUGCUGCAGGGGGUCGGAUCCACUGGCUUUACACAGGGAGCCCUUUAGAAGAACAUAUCACUAUUUCUACAUGGUCAGAGAUGUGUUGUGUGUUACAUGCAUUUGAAGAGAUUACUGCUCCCCCUAGAGCAUAUACAUUGCUGAAUUCUUGAUUAUUUAAUGUACAGUAGGCAGUUUAAAGGAAUAGUUCUCCAAAAGAUGAAACGUGUCGUCAUUUGCUCACCCUCAUGUCAUUGCAAACCUGCAUGAUUUUCUUAGGUGGAAAAUAUUUUGCAGAAAGUCCAAAUGCCUCAAAAUCUAUAUUUGUCUCUCUGUGUGUGUGUGUGUGUGUGUGUGUGUGUACAACAUAAAAGUAUUUUGUGUUUGUUAUAGAAUGUCAUUCAAAAUCUCAUUUGUUUAUCAAAGGGUCAAAAUCAUGGCAUCAAACCUAGUGUGGUUCAUUAUUUUGUAAUUGUUACAUUUAAUUUAGUCUAGGGUGAAAAUAGAAUCUGGAAAUUGCCAUUUAGCUGAAUAUUUGUCAUGAUUGUCAUUCAUAUAUAUAAAACAGCCCCAUAACAUUAUAUUAUAUAUAAAAUCUCAAAAAAUGUGAACGCAAAUAGCUUCUGAAUUGCUCUGGUGAUUCUUAAAUGUCUUUUGAUGUUUCUUUGAAGUAAGAUCACAUGCAGGUUUGAAAUGACAUGAGUAGGUGAAUAUGGUAAAUAUUUUAUUUGUGUGUUUCUCUGUGAACCGCAGUAACCCUGCGCUCUCUGACCGUACCGCAUGUACGGGAGAGAAAACUGAUGUCGCUCCGAGCCAGCUCAGCAACAUUAAGCUCUUCUCUUUUCUAAAUCUGUCCUCCUGUCAAGGUUUUAAAUACUACGGUCCUGGCUAUAGACCUAUCCUGAAAAGAUCUGGCCUCCAUAUUGUCAUGUUUGUGGGGAUCAUCCACUUGUGAUAUACAGAUGUUAGAGGUGUUGUUCUGCACAGUAUGGGUAUGUUUUUAAAAUAAGUCUGAGAAAGGGCUGUGAUGACCCUCAACCAGAGCAGCUGUCAGAUAUCACUGCAGUUUUAUAGAUGACUGGUUAUUUUAAUCUGCUCAAAUCAUUUCAUCGGGUCAGUUUCUUUGCUUACAACUGUUUGUUUGUAGUAGUACGCUUGGCAUUGUCAGAUCAUCCACCCAGAAUAUAGUACUAUUGUUUUUUUUUUUUUUUUUUUUAAAUAUGAAUCACAUAUACAUGAUCCACAUAUGUUGGUCUUAUGCAGUAUCUUUACGAAAUUACAAUGUCAUCUAUGGAAUCUGUGCAAUAGAGGCCCAACAGAGUUAUGUUGAUGCUCUGGCUUCCUUUUAUAAUAUAUCAAAAUGAUUGGCAGUAACCGGUGAGCACUAUCAGCCUUUCCAAACCAUUGUUUCUAACCUUAACUGUGUAAAACAAGGAAACAAACUAUUUGCAUCAUUAUCAGCCUUGCAUUAGUUUAGUUCAAACACUUUUUAUACAAUGAAUACAUCAAGGCUCGUCUUUAUUUUAAAGCGUGUCCUGUACAUCUGCACAGUCUGCAGACAAUCAGAACAUCUUCAUUUACGACACCCUACAGUUUCACAGCUGAUAAAUGUGAGACCUGACAGUAAUGUUAUUUGUUGAUCUGGUUCCUCACUGUUCUAAAAACAAGGUUCAAAUUGGAACUUUUCAUCCCUUCUUUUAUUAUUUGUAUAGAGUGAAAAUUGAAGCUGCUAAUAACUAUGCAGCUAAACAAUUGUCUUUAUACAUAGGUCUUCAGUUAGUUUACAUGGAAUGAAUUUGGGUAAAUAGGGCCACAAUUUUUGCAUUAAUUUUGCAUAUAUAUAUAUAUAUAUAAUAUAUAAACACACGCACGCACACAGAAUUAAUUCUACUUUCUAUUAACACUUUCAAAAUACAUGUUUAUUAAUUUCUCUACACUUUUGUUUAGCUAAACUAGGGGUCUCCAAACCCUGUCCUGCAGAGUUUAGCUCUAACCCUAAGUAAAUGCACCUGAACCAGCUAAUAAAGGCAAGUUGGAGCUAAACUCUGCAGGACACCGGCCCUCCAGGACCGAGUUUGUAGACCCCUGUGCUAAACUGUAAAAUAGCUGUUCUGCUCCCUGCAGUAAUGAUUUCAUGUUACAGCGGUUUUGGAAAGCCUUAAAGAGUGAAGGCAUGACCAAAGAGCACAGGAUUAAAAAUCUGCUUGCCUUAGAGUGAUAAUAUGACCUGAAAAAAACACUAUAAAAAAAAUCUAUAUUAUAUAUAUUAAUUGGGUUCGCUUCAGUUUUGAAUUGGUUAACUGAUUUAGUCAUACACAUUCAUAAAAAUGCUUCGAGUGGUUGUUAAAUAAAAUUUUUGCGGCUGUGGUCUAAACUCAUGUCAUGACUUCAGUUUUUACCAUUGCCACACACAACAGGGUUUCACCCUGAUGGUGCGAUGAUUGCAUUAUGCUUUAAGGGCUUGAGUGUUUGUUUCUGUGUGUCUUUGCCUCCGUGUGUGUGUGUGUCCUCAAGCAAGAACCAUCUGGAGUCAUAUGAUUAUUUUCACCUUUAUUUGAAGAGUCAACUGAUGCAUGUAGUUACCCAAGUAGAAAACACCCAUCAUUUGUUUGACUACCUGAGACAGGACAACUAUAUAAAAAUGAGGCCUAUUUUUGUACUAUCAAUGGUGCAUUGUCAUUUACAUGUAAUUUAAAGAUUAUUUUGCUCUUUUUUUUUUUUCUUCUUCUUUUUAUUUAAUUGAUGUCAAUAUGCGAAUUAAAGAUUAUACAAAUAAAUAAAGAUCUAUGCAAACUUCAUAA